AAAUUGAAGAGUUUGAUCAUGGCUCAGAUUGAACGCUGGCGGCAGGCCUAACACAUGCAAGUCGAACGGUAACAGGAAGCAGCUUGCUGCUUUGCUGACGAGUGGCGGACGGGUGAGUAAUGUCUGGGAAACUGCCUGAUGGAGGGGGAUAACUACUGGAAACGGUGGCUAAUACCGCAUAACGUCGCAAGACCAAAGAGGGGGACCUUCGGGCCUCUU
rnacentral:rRNA from 16 species